AUAUCUCUCUGUACGGGAAGGAUGAGAAGCUUCGACCAAGGUUCGAUUCGAGCGCAGCGAGAAAGCGUUGCCGCAGGCAACGACCCGAAGGGCGAAGCGCGCAGCGCUGAGUCAUCCUUC
rnacentral:sRNA from 1 species